rnacentral:rRNA from 1 species
GGAAAAUAUGAGGCGGGCUGGACCUCUCGGGGUUACAGCCUUGCUGAAUUAUUCACCCUUGUCUUUUGCGUACUUCUUGUUUCCUUGGUGGGUUCGCCCACCACUAGGACAAACAUAAACCUUUUGUAAUUGCAAUCAGCGUCAGUAACAAAUUAAUAAUUACAACUUUCAACAACGGAUCUCUUGGUUCUGGCAUCGAUGAAGAACGCAGCGAAAUGCGAUAAGUAGUGUGAAUUGCAGAAUUCAGUGAAUCAUCGAAUCUUUGAACGCACAUUGCGCCCUUUGGUAUUCCAAAGGGCAUGCCUGUUCGAGCGUCAUUUGUACCCUCAAGCUUUGCUUGGUGUUGGGCGUCUUGUCUCUAGCUUUGCUGGAGACUCGCCUUAAAGUAAUUGGCAGCCGGCCUACUGGUUUCGGAGCGCAGCACAAGUCGCACUCUCUAUCAGCAAAGGUCUAGCAUCCAUUAAGCCUUUUUUUCAACUUUUGACCUCGGAUCAGGUAGGGAUACCCGCUGAACUUAAGCAUAUCAAAAGCCGGAGGAGGUAUCCGA